rnacentral:rRNA from 1 species
UGCUCCAGUUGAUCGCAUGGCCUUCUGGGAAAGCUUUCGCGGUAUGGGAUGGGGUCGCGUCCUAUCAGCUUGACGGCGGGGUAACGGCCCACCGUGGCUUCGACGGGUAGCCGGCCUGAGAGGGCGACCGGCCACAUUGGGACUGAGAUACGGCCCAGACUCCUACGGGAGGCAGCAGUGGGGAAUAUUGCACAAUGGGCGCAAGCCUGAUGCAGCGACGCCGCGUGCGGGAUGACGGCCUUCGGGUUGUAAACCGCUUUUGAUCGGGAGCAAGCCUUCGGGUGAGUGUACCUUUCGAAUAAGCACCGGCUAACUACGUGCCAGCAGCCGCGGUAAUACGUAGGGUGCAAGCGUUAUCCGGAAUUAUUGGGCGUAAAGGGCUCGUAGGCGGUUCGUCGCGUCCGGUGUGAAAGUCCAUCGCUUAACGGUGGAUCUGCGCCGGGUACGGGCGGGCUGGAGUGCGGUAGGGGAGACUGGAAUUCCCGGUGUAACGGUGGAAUGUGUAGAUAUCGGGAAGAACACCAAUGGCGAAGGCAGGUCUCUGGGCCGUUACUGACGCUGAGGAGCGAAAGCGUGGGGAGCGAACAGGAUUAGAUACCCUGGUAGUCCACGCCGUAAACGGUGGAUGCUGGAUGUGGGGCCCGUUCCACGGGUUCCGUGUCGGAGCUAACGCGUUAAGCAUCCCGCCUGGGGAGUACGGCCGCAAGGCUAAAACUCAAAGAAAUUGACGGGGGCCCGCACAAGCGGCGGAGCAUGCGGAUUAAUUCGAUGCAACGCGAAGAACCUUACCUGGGCUUGACAUGUUCCCGACGGUCGUAGAGAUACGGCUUCCCUUCGGGGCGGGUUCACAGGUGGUGCAUGGUCGUCGUCAGCUCGUGUCGUGAGAUGUUGGGUUAAGUCCCGCAACGAGCGCAACCCCUAUUGUUAGUUGCCAUCAUUCAGUUGGGCACUCUAGCGAGACUGCCGGUAAUAAACCGGAGGAAGGUGGGGAUGACGUCAAAUCAUCAUGCCCCUUAUGACCUGGGCUACACACGUGCUACAAUGGUUGGUACAACGAGUUGCGAGUCGGUGACGGCAAGCUAAUCUCUUAAAGCCAAUCUCAGUUCGGAUUGUAGGCUGCAACUCGCCUACAUGAAGUCGGAAUCGCUAGUAAUCGCGGAUCAGCACGC